ensembl:lncRNA novel transcript
AGUUCUACUGGGCGCUAUAGGAAGGGCGCACGCACGAAACUUCCUCCGUCCCUUGCAUCCUCAGGGCCCGCCCGGCAGGACGACUGAGCAGGCCUUGGAAGACCGGAGAGAUUGGAGCGCAGAAUGGGGAGGAAUUGAGGGGAAAAUGGAGAUAGAACCUGAAAGAGCCCCAAACGCCAGAACCUGUAGCUCCCCAAGAAUAAGAUCUUCCAGAAGAACUAGACCCAAAACUAGCCGUUGGGGAACACCGAAAUCCUUGGAGGAGCAACAUCCGCAUGACCCUCUGUGUUCCUUUAGGCAAAAGGACUUGCUUCCAUUGUUUGUUCAAUUGUUUGUGUUUGUUAAAUAAAUAAAACGAUUUUCAUGUAUCUUUGA